rnacentral:ncRNA from 1 species
UACCCGGGAGUGUGUAAUUGGGAAUACACACAGGCAUUGGGUUAACUACCUUUAUCCAAAGGGUGGGUUGUCUUUCCCCGAGGCACCACUUU